UACGUAGGCAGCGAGCGUUGUUCGGAGUUACUGGGCGUAAAGAGUGCGUAGGUGGCUCUCUAAGUUUGGUGUGAAAUCUCCCGGCUCAACUGGGAGGGUGCGCCGAAAACUGGAGGACUAGAGUGUGGGAGAGGAAAGCGGAAUUCCUGGUGUAGCGGUGAAAUGCGUAGAUAUCAGGAGGAACACCUGCGGUGUAGACGGCUUUCUGGACCACUACUGACACUGAGGCACGAAAGCGUGGGGAGCAAAC
rnacentral:rRNA from 1 species